UGAUCCUGCCGAACCUGACUGCUAUCGGAUUGGUACUAAGCCAUGCGAGUCGUGUAGCAAUACAAGGCGGACGGCUCAGUAACACGUAGUCAACCUAACCUAUGGACGUGGAUAACCUCGGGAAACUGAGAAUAAACCGCGAUAGAUCAUUAUGCCUGGAAUGGCUUAUGGUUUAAACAAUUUAUUGCCGUAGGAUGGGACUGCGGCCUAUCAGCUUGUUGGUGAGGUAAUGGCCCACCAAGGCUAUAACAGGUACGGGCUCUGAGAGGAGAAGCCCGGAGAUGGGUACUGAGACACGGACCCAGGCCCUAUGGGGCGCAGCAGGCGAGAAGCCUUAGCAAUGUGCGAAAGCACGACUAGGUUAAUCCGAGGGAUUUCUGUUGAAGAAAUCUUUUGUCAGUCGUAAAACCACAGACGAAUAAGGGGUGGGCAAGUCUGGUGUCAGCCGCCGCGGUAAUACCAGCACCUCGAGUGGUCAGGAGGUUUAUUGGGCCUAAAGCAUCCGUAGCCGGCUUUGCAAGUCUCCGGUUAAAUCCAACUGCUCAACAGAUGGGCUGCCGGAGAUACUACACAGCUAGGGAGCGGGAGAGGCAGACGGUAUUCUGUGGGUAGGGGUAAAAUCCUUUGAUCCAUAGAGGACCACCAGUGGCGAAGGCGGUCUGCCAGAACGCGUUCGACGGUGAGGGAUGAAAGCUGGGGGAGCAAACCGGAUUAGAUACCCGGGUAGUCCCAGCUGUAAACGAUGCAAACUCGGUGAUGCAUUGGCUUAUGGCCAAUGCAGUGCCGCAGGGAAGCCGUUAAGUUUGCCGCCUGGGAAGUACGGACGCAAGUCUGAAACUUAAAGGAAUUGGCGGGGGAGCACCACAAGGGGUGAAGCCUGCGGUUCAAUUGGAUCAACGCCG
rnacentral:rRNA from 1 species